rnacentral:lncRNA from 11 species
UGACAUUUAUUCCCCUCAGUUUGCCCAACGUGGAAAAAGUCUUUUUAAGUGCCAUUGCUGAGACUUUGUUUUUUUUUUUAAAAAAAAAAGGGGGGGGGAAAAUAACUACUGCAGUUUCCUUCAACCUCUGAAACACAUCCGAUUUCACUAGAUUGUGGCUCCUUCGGCCCUAGGGUCGGUUUCAGAUGUCAAUAUGCCUCCGUGUCCUUGCUUCCAGCAGAUCGGACUGUUGGGAGGACACACAAUGAAUGGGUUGCAUUGACAGUCUUCCGAAGGAAGGCACCUGAAGGAAAAGACGGGAGGAAGGAUACUUUUUCUUCCUAAUAUUCCAAAGACAAAAGAAAAGGCAGUCCAAAGAAAUGAAAUUGAUUUCUGUGCCACCUUCCUCCCAAAUCUUGGUUUGUACGAGAUAAUUUUAAAAAGAGCUACAACCCUUCACACUAUUACAGCAUUACAUUAUAGUGUUAAAUACAAUGCUUUCUAAUAAAAAUGGACUUUUCUGAAGAAUUAAAAUUGUUUGUAAAUAAAGAAUUGAAUUAAAGCAGCUUUAACAGAUGUGAAUAAAAUGCCUCACAUCUAUCCAUUAAAAGUUCUUUUCUCAGGAGCCAGUCCACUUGAAUCCAAAGGCCUACUGCAGGAAGGAGAAUAUGGAAAGGACCAGCUUAG